GUUUGGAUAGCUUAGCUGGAUGAGCAACAGGCUUUUAAUCUGAGGGUCCAGGUCUCAAACCUGUUCAGGUG
rnacentral:tRNA from 1 species